GCUUUUGUGGUGUAGUGGUCAGCACGGUCGCCUCGUAUUCGAGAGGUCCGUGGUUCGACUCCCGGUGAAUGCG
rnacentral:tRNA from 1 species